UGAGGAAUAUUGGUCAAUGGGCGAGAGCCUGAACCAGCCAAGUAGCGUGCAGGAUGACGGCCCUAUGGGUUGUAAACUGCUUUUAUAUGGGAAUAAAGUGAGGGACGUGUCCCUUAUUGCAUGUACCAUACGAAUAAGGACCGGCUAAUUCCGUGCCAGCAGCCGCGGUAAUACGGAAGGUUCUGGCGUUAUCCGGAUUUAUUGGGUUUAAAGGGAGCGUAGGCCGUUUGGUAAGCGUGUUGUGAAAUGUAGGAGCUCAACUUCUAGAUUGCAGCGCGAACUGUCAGACUUGAGUGCGCACAACGUAGGCGGAAUUCAUGGUGUAGCGGUGAAAUGCUUAGAUAUCAUGACGAACUCCGAUUGCGAAGGCAGCUUACGGGAGCGCAACUGACGCUAAAGCUCGAAGGUGCGGGUAUCGAACAGG
rnacentral:rRNA from 1 species